UCUCUCUCUCUCUCUCUCUCUCUCUCUCUCUCUCUCUCUCUCUCUCUCUCUCUCUCUCUCUCUCUCUCUCUCUCUCUCUCUCUCUCUCUCUCUUUUGCCGUCUAGUUUAAUAAAAAUACUUAAAUUUCCUUCAGGCAUCUCCGGCCUUUGAAAUAUGUAAUGGUAAUAAAGCACACACACACACACACACACACACACACACACACACACACACACGAACGCAUGCACGCACACACAUUCAUCCAUGCACGUAUACACGCACUUACGCACACACGCAUGCACACACUUUAUGCACGCCCGCAUGCAGGUACCUAUGCAUGCACUCACACACGGAUGUACGCAUUCACAUACUAACACAUACGCAUGUCACUACUAAUACUACUACUACUACUACCACUACUGCUACCACUACCAUGACUCUUACACCAGGUUUUGUUCAUAUUAUUUCUCUCCUAGCCGUUCUCCUCCUCCUCCUCCUCCUCCUCCUUCUCGCUCCUUUGAUGUCCUUUGUUGUCUGUGAUGUGUUCUAUCUUCCUCGCCGGCCACUACAACACAACACAACACAACACAACACACGGCAGCACAAUAAUCCACUACUACACACGCGGCCACACGAAUACUGCAACACUGUGCCCAAGUAACACACACACACACACACACACACACACACACACACACACACACACACACACACACACACACACACACACAUUAGUUUUGCACAGUCUGUAAUUCCCCUUUAUCCGUGACCCUCCUGGCAGCACUACACUUCUCUUACUUCCCUUCACUUACCUGCCCUUUCUCUCUCUCUCUCUCUCUCUCUCUCUCUCUCUCUCUCUCUCUCUCUCUCUCUCUCUCUCUCUCUCUCUCUCUCUCUCUCUCUCUCUCUCUCUCUCUCUCUCUCUCUACCUGUUCAAUUACGCACCUGGUUCAAUUAUUGCUUGUGGUCACUAAUCUAAUCUCGUCUUUUUUCGAUGUUCCACUUAGUCUGUCUUUCCUUCUUUCUCCUUCUCCUACUCUUCCUUUUCUGCUUGUUCUCCUUUAUCGUUGUGUGCAUCUGUUCAUUCUCCUUUUCAUUUCCUUUACACACAGUUGUUCUUUCUGUUACUGGGGCUUUCUUAUCUAAUCUUAUUGUUUAUUUCAGUUAUUUAUUCUUUACCUCCUUUUCCCCCUCUUUUUCUUCCUCUUCCUCCUCCUCCUCCUCCUCCUCCUCCUUUUCACCUUCCAUUACACACCAACCUUCUUUUACUUGGACCUUCUAAUUUUCACUCAUAGUUUUUGAUAUUUCUCUUGUUCUUUAUGUCUGUCUCCCGCCUCCUCCUCCUCCUCCUCCACGUAACCUACUUCUCUUCAUUUCUCCUCUGCUCCUUUCUAUAACUGGGACUUCCUUAUUUCUUCUUGCUCUUUUAAAUUCGUUCAUCUAUCCUUUGUCUUUUUCCCUGUCUCAUUUUCUAAUCUUUCUGCUUUAAAUAACUGUUUGCUCGCAUUUGUAAUAUUAUCAUCAUAGUUUAAUCUUUUGUUUUCUCUAUUCUUUUAUUCUCCUUCUCCCUUUCCCUUCUUCCUUUAAUCAUUUCUUCCCUCUUUUCUCCUUUUUUUCUUCAAUUUUUUGUUGCCUCCUCCUCCUCCUCCUCCUACUCCCUUUCGUUUCUUCCUUUCUUUGCCCUUCUCCUCCUCCUCCCCUUUUCCUUCUUCUUUAUCUGUUAUCCACCUGCUACUCUCUUUCUCUUCUUCCAUUCUCUAUUGUUCUCCUCUUCUUCCCUUUCUCUUCCUUUAUUUGUUGUCCUCCUCCUUCUCCCCUUCCCUUCUUCCCAUAUUUAAUGUAUAGUUUGUAAACCAUGUGAUCUUAAUAUUAUUUUUUUAUGCUGCCCGUAAUUUAUCUUUUGUUCUUUUUGAUCAGCGGCGCCAAGCAGUGUGUUUACCUCAUCACGCUGCUGCCCAUUUUUGCUUAAUAUUUUGAUCCACGCUUAUUUUUUUCUCUGUUCCUCCAUGAGUCUGCCGCUUUAGUCUCCCUCACGUCCACGCCUCAUGGUGGUGGUGGCCGAGUGGUCAGAGCUCGUCAGAGGUUCAGGUCCCGCCCACCACUACAAGCAGACAGUUUUCACUUUCCAGUCAUUGCCGAUUGGCCGAAGACAACCCACGUGCUGUCCUGACGACCACUUAACCACCCAGACCCUAGCAGAAGGUGACAAUAUCCUGGAAGAAGGGAAGGAAGGGAAAAGGGAGACGAAGAUAAAAAUGUAUACAUACUCAAUUUCCUAAUUCAUACAUAUAUAAUUUUCCAUACAAGACUCAAUUUUUUCUGGAGAGACAAUGGUAGGCCCGGCUUCAAGUCCCGCCCGCCACUCCAAGCAGACAGUUUUCAGUCAUCGCCGAGUGGCCCAAAACCCAUGCGCAUCCCUCCGACUGCCUGUCAACCCAGACUCAGCAAAACUCAAGAGGAUCAAAUGCAGCUCCAUCGCUUCUCUUCCCUGGGUGUCCAGUCCUUUCUCUCGCUAAAAUGAGAGAAGAGAUAAGAUUAGGAAAAGAUAAUUACCUGUCUUUUAAACCUGACUCUCUCUCUCUCUCUCUCUCUCUCUCUCUCUCUCUCUCUCUCUCUCUCUCUCUCUCUCUCUCUCUCUCUCUCUCUCUCUCUCUCUCUCUCUCACAGACACGAAAGAAUUAUCCUCAUCUCUUUCUUGUCCUUCACUUCUCCUCCUCCUCCUCCUCCUGCGCCUCCUCCCACUCCAUGUAACUCAACUCUCCCGUAAAACUUCCUAAUUCCUCCUCAGAAGCUUCCUCCUCCUCCUCCUACUCCUACUCCAUCAAAAUUUAGGAGUGGCUCUGUCCAUUUCUUCGCUUUUAUUUGCUUGUUUGUGUUUGUGUCAUGAUUCUGAUGUUGAUUUUCUUUGUCUUUUUAUUGUUAAGUCUUAUAAUUAUUGUUUUACUGUUAUUGGUGGUGGUGGUGUACUCAUCAGUAGUAGUAGUAGUAGUAGUAGUAGUAGUAGGAGUGGUAGUUGUAGUGAUAGCAGUAAUAGUAUUUGUGUUGGUUGGAGGUCACAGCCAUUGGCGGGGCGGGGCCAAUGAAUUGUGUUGUGAGAAAAUUAAUAUGCUUCUCACAACACAACUCCUAAUGGAUGGAGGCCACAUGUAAUAGUAGUAGUAGUAGUAGUAGUAGUAGUAGUAGUAGUAGUAGUCGUAGUCGUAGUAGUAGUAGAAGUAGAUACCACACCACCACACCACCACCAUCAUCACCUUCAGAACAUUAAUAAGAAAAAGAGAUAAGGAAAACCCAGACAGCCAGACAGACCCUCGCUUCCCUCUUCACCCCCUUCCCUCCCCUCCCCUCUCAGCCCCUUCCCUCCACCUCCACCCCCCCCCCCCUCCUGCCUCAUCACUUGUCAGGAUCCACUUUGUUCCAUUACCCAGAAACUCCUAGACUGCUUUUUUUCUGUGGCUGUAUUUUUUUUUUUUUUUUUUUUACGUUUCCUUGUUCUUGCUUUGCUGCCUGCCUUGUUUUCUUGUUCUGUUUGGACUUACCUCUCGUUCCUGUCCGCUCCGAUUUCUUUUCUUUCUUUCUUACCCUUCUUUUAUAUACUUUCUUUACUUAUGCAUUCAGAAUUUCCCAUUUAUUGUCUGAUGCUAUUUCCUCGUACGUAUGUUUUGUGAUUUCUUUUUCUGUAACAUUCUAUAGAGUUCCGUAAUACUUUCCUUUCCUUUUGCCCUCAGAAUUUCCUCAGGUUGGGUCCGUGAGCUUUUGAGGAUACUGAAUAGGGAAAAAUGAAGCCGCAUUCUGGGGACAAGGGAGAUGACAAGUGAAGAGGAGGAGCGAGGGAGGUGAGAGGGCAGAGCUUGCAGAUGGAAAGAUACUGAUGCUGUUUGGAAGAGGAAUGCUGAGUGGAGGGUAUUGAAGGAGUUGUUUUGCUGAUGUUUCUGCUGUGUUGCUGCUGCUCUUCCCUCCGGCAACAGUUUGUACCCGUGACGGGCGGCCGUGAUAACACUGGCCUCACAAAUCACGAGUCAAACACUUCAAAGUAGAAUAUUAGGCCAUAGUUGUGUGUCACAGCGAGACCCUACUCAACCAAUCAAUGGGAGCAUACGCCGGGGGACGCGUCGCCUCGCCCAGCCCCGGGGGUCCCUCUUGAGAACAGCCCGGUGCGCGGCUCCACUUCUGGGCAGCGCGAGUCCGUGCCACAGCCGGAGUUGGCGUCCACGGACUAUACAGAUCAGGUGGGCUCAAGCGGUAGAAGCAGUCCACCAAGGGUCACACUCCCCCCCCCCCCCAGUAGAUCACACGAGCCGUUGGGGUGACGGGGCUCGUGCUUCACUCACCGGAGCCAACCCUACGCACAACUUAAGCUUGAAAAAGAAGAGGAGGAGGGAAGAGGAAGAAGAGGAAGAAGAAAUGACAGUAGGAGGAGACAGAAGAUGAAGAAGAGGCAAUAAGAGCGGUGACUGAGUGGUUACCGUGCUGGGCUCACAUUCACCACGCCAUGGACAACGUCGGUUCGAAUCCCCACGCCACCACCUGGAAUUUUUCAGUCACCGCCGAGUGGCCUAAGACUACCCACAUGCUGUCCAGAAGACCACCCAUCAACCCGGACUCUAGAAGAAACCGUCGAGUGAAUCAAAAAUGAGUUUUGGGGGGCAGCAUGAGCCAAGCAUAACUGGCGCCACUAUGAAAAAAAACUGCCUGCGCCACGACGGGCUUGGGCCGACCAUCUGGCCCCUGAAGAAAGCCUACCGGCGCUAUAGGCGGGGAUGUAAAAAAAAAUGAUAAAAAAAUAACCGAAUAUGAUAUAUGAUAUGAUAAGAUAAAACAUUAAUUCCAUAACGUAGCACAGCACUGGUGUCUCAGUAACUGGGUGCAUUUUUUUAAUGUUUUGUGUGUUUCAGGUCCGCCUCCCCACGCUGCCCAAGACUGGUGCCAAGAACGGUUGCCCAAGAUUGGUUCCAAGGACGGUCCGUGACACAUCGCAUGCAUGGGUCCGUCUUCCCACACUGGCCAAGACCGGUGUCAAGGACGGCUGCCCAAGAUUGAUCCAAGGACGGUCUGUGACGCAGCGCAUGAAUGAGUGAGU